CGACUAAGCGCAUACGGUGGAUGCCUUGGCAGUCAGAGGCGAUGAAAGACGUGGAAGCCUGCGAUAAGGCUCGGGGAGCUGGCAAACAAGCUGUGAUCCGGGCAUCUCUGAAUGGGGAAACCCACCGGUCUUCGGACCGGUACCGUACGGUGAAUACAUAGCCGUACGGGGCGAACUCGGGGAACUGAAACAUCUAAGUACCCGAAGGAAAGGACAUCAACCGAGACUCCGCAAGUAGCGGCGAGCGAACGCGGACCAGGCCAGUGGCAUGAUUAAGUAAAGUGGAACCGUCUGGAAAGUCGGGCCGUAGUGGGUGAUAGCCCCGUACACGUAAUCCUUAGUCAUGUCCUAGAGUAAGGCGGGACACGUGAAAUCCUGUCUGAACAUGGGGGGACCACCCUCCAAGCCUAAAUACUCGUAUGUGACCGAUAGCGAACCAGUACCGUGAGGGAAAGGUGAAAAG
rnacentral:rRNA from 1 species